UUGACCGGCAGCUGAUGGACACGCACCUGAAAGAACGGAGCCAGCCGGCUGCUGCCCUCUGCAGGGGCCACAGCGCUGGGCGGGGGGAUGAGCCCAGCAUCGCUGAAGGCAAACGACUCUUCUCAUUCUUCAGGAAAAUUUAAGUUGGGAGGAGUCAGGCCACCAAAGAUGGGUGGACUGGAGGCAGCUGGAAAGGCGGUGCAGGCCCCAACUCAGAGGCUCCGCGGCCCGGCCAGCCCUCAGCUGCUCACAACCGAUUCAGUCUCCCUCCCUCCCUCACGUGGGGAAAGCACAGCAGGGAUGCGCGGCAAGAAUGUACCUGUAGAUGUGUACAUACCACAGUGCUGUAAUUUUGUAUGUAGCAAUCAUGUAAAUACAUGUAUGGAUUUUAUAAUAUACAUAUAUAAAAAUCUAUAAAGGCAUAUUUUUAGAAAAACAGCACACCACUGCUUCUUUUGAAAAUAGUCUGAAUAAGAAUAAAAUGAAUUUCUAC
rnacentral:lncRNA from 10 species